CUGGCGACAACGCAGCCACCUCGCCUCUUCCGGAAGGUCCAAGCGCCGGGUAGCUGCGCCACCUGGCGGUCGCCGGGAGAGGUGGCCUGGGGCUUAACAGGUCUAAGGCUUCGAGUGGGAAACCCGCGUAUCCAGUCAGGGAGUGACCAGCGUGGCCGCGCCGUGAGCUCUGAGCAAGGGGCCUUUGGCCCGACGGUGAAAGUCGCCCGUCGCUGGCACCUGAGGCCCAAACAUCAGAAAGCAGCCAGGACCCAGAGGCCGCAAUGCAGCGCGACGAGACGCCCCGCCCACCCUCGGUGCGUCACGUUCAGGCGCGCGCUCGCGACUGACGUGCGCAGGCGCUUAAGACGCCGCGCAACCGCCAUUGCAUUCCUGUUGAGGAGUGGAGUAGCCGGUUAGUAGACGUCCACGGGCACGGAAGAGUACCCAUCCCAGAGCCAUGGUCUAUGCCUUUCUCAUCCACACCUUGCGGGCCCCGAAGGCUGAGGAGGGCCUUUGCCGAGUGCUCUACUCCUGCUUCUUUGGUGCGGAGAAUUCACCCUACGACCCAAGACCACGUGGUCCUGAGAGGGACAGGCUCCUCCGAAAGGAGCAGAUUUUGGCCACAGCCAGGCAGGUGGAGUCUAUGUGGCAGCUGCAGCAGCAGGCGUGUGGCCGGCCUGCCAUGGACCUGCAGUCCCAGUCUUCAGAUGAGCCAGUGCCCCUGCAGGAGGCCCCAUGUGGGGCCUUCCGCCUGGCCGCAGGGGACCCUUUCCAGGAGCCUCGGACAGUAGUAUGGCUAGCUGUGCUCUCAUUAGGCUUCACCCUGGUGCUGGAUGCCCACGAGAACCUGCUGCUGGCCGAGGGCACACUCCGACUGCUGGCACGCCUUCUCCUUGACCACCUCCGGCUGCUGGUCCCUGGUGCCAACUUCCUGCUGCGGGCUGACCGCAUUGAGGGCAUCCUCGCCCGCUUCCUGCCACAUGGUCAACUGCUCUUCCUCAAUGACCAGUUUGUCCAGGGUCUAGAGAAGGAAUUUAGUGCUGCCUGGCCCCGCUGACCCUUCACUGGGAUGGGACUUCCCAAGAGAGCAAGGAGGGAGGACGGGGGUGGAUGGACACACAGCCAGGUCUUCCAACCAUGUGGAGCUGGUCUAUCCUUUAGUAUUCCAGUACCAGUUUCUUGAGCCCGCAUCCUGCCUGAAGUGGGAUAGUCGGUACUGCCCCAGCACAUCGUAUGUGUCUCCUGGGCAUCGCUUGUUCUCCUCAGCUUUUGCGGCAUUGUGACUUGGAUCUCAGGGCAUGUGACGACUCCUUUCUCUCUACCCUGAUGUGUCUGCCCAGAUGCAGAAUACAUGCUCUUUCCCUUGAUGCCCCCAAAGAAUAGGGAAUUUGGGAGUAGCAGACUUUUCCUAAAGUUUAAGGGGAUAGAGGAGAGUUAUCUUAUAGAACAACAGAGCAUAAGACUUGAGACUGUCGUGUUCCCUGAAGUCUCUGAACCAUUCCCCCCAAGGAGGUCUUCUCCUGGUUCCCUUGGAGCCUUGGCCUCCCAUCAACUUUCAGGUUGCUCCCUUCUUUUUUAUUUUUUCACUAAAAAUUGUUUUUCUUUCUUCUUUUUAUUGUAAAAUAUGCAUAACAUAAAAUUGACCACUUUAACAAUUUUUAAGUGUACGAUUUAGUGGCAUUAAGUACACUCACAGUAUUGUAUCUAUUUUCAGAAGGCUUUCAUCAUUUAAAACAGAAACUCUGUACCCAUUAAGCAGUAACUCCCUGUGCUCUCUUCUGUGCUCUCUGGUAUCCAGCACCCUCAUUUCUUUUCCUGUUCGCACCGGGCAGUUUAGGGCUCCACCCCCCCACCUAACUUGUUCCCAGGCCUACCUUUUCCCCCCCUUAACUGAUUGAACCCAGGACCUCGUACAUACCAAGCACACGCUCUACCACUGAGCUAUACCCCUUGACCCUCCCAGGCCUGCCUUUUGAUAGCAUAGCUGUGCCUCCUUAAAAAGGGGUGGGGGAAGGACUGUCUGGGGCUCCAUCUUCAGCAGCUCAAAGCACAUUUUCAGUUCUGCUUUGAAAUCACAAACUCUUACAGGACAUAAUUAAAUCUCAGGCAAGACUUCCUUCCACACUGUUAUAUGUAAUGGAAAGAUCUAUCCUUCCCAAGGUGAGUCAUUUGGUAUAUAUUCCCCUUAAGAGGCAGGUAUAGCUGUACUAAUUUUUAACAGCUUUUUUCACCCCACCCCCAUUAUGUAUGUUUAUGUGUGUGUUAUGUAGUUUAAUACUUCUUUUUCCCAUCAGGUUAUAAUCUCCAGGAGAAUUUAUAUUGUGUCUUUUAUUUUUUACAUUUUACUUAACACCUGACAUGGCACUGAGGCACAUAGCAGCUACCCAAUAUAUAUUGAAUGAAUGCAUGCAUAAAUAAAAAGGUGGUUUAUAGGAGAGGCUUGGGGCCAGGGAUUCUGCAACAUCUCCAUGUAGCAACUUUUUCUUUCUCCUGGGAAGCAGAUAGAAACAACAGACUGUGUCUGUUGUCUCUCAAGGUUGGAGCUGCUCAGGAUCAUAAGUCCCUUUCCCAGAAGAUAAGCUACUUGUUACAGCAAAGGAAACAUCAUGUAGCACUUGCAGGUUUCCUGCUGCAAGGCUCCCUGUGUUCGCAGGUUAUGCUGACUUGCUUUCUACACUUCUGCUAAUGAAUAGGAAUGAUCCUUCCCUUCAGUGUUCUGAGAGAGGUUAGAGUUACCACAGGCCUAUGAUUUCUGCCCCUGGGAAAGGUGAGUAAAAAAGUGGUCAGAACGCCUCCUCUUUCUGAAACAGUCACCUGGAAGUGGCUUUGUCCACCCUAAUUGUGCAAGCCACAUCAGCAUGAGGGUCCAGAAGUCUUUGGGCCAGUAGAGAAUUCCCCUUCAUGUAGAGCUGGAACCAGAGCAUUUACUAUCAAGGGCAUUGUUUGGGAUUGAUACUUGAUCAGAAGCAAAAGGACAUUAAAACCCUUUGUCAGGUCUUUGGCUCAUGUGACCCUAUAAUAUCCAGGUGAUGAAAACAAAGGAGCUCCUGGGCAAGAGGAGCCAUCCUGGAUUCCAAGAGGCCCUAAGGUAGGAGGCUGAUAAUGAUCAGCAAACAUUAAUAACAUUCCUAUGUCCAUGAAUAAUGAGUUAGUAAAUAUAAUGAAAGAUAAGAUCCCAUUCGGGAUAAAGACAAAAAAUAUAAAAUACCUAGGAUCAAACAUAAUUAGAAAUACAUUGGGUCUAUACAAAGAAGAUCUAUGAGCUAUACUGAGAUGCUAAAACCAGUGGGUGAAAGGUUGACGAGGAACAAGAUUUGUACAUAGCUUCUAAGUAACUUUCCAUGAAUUACUUAUUAGCUAAAAAUGGGGAAAUGGUAAAUUUUCGGUGGAGAAACUGGAGGGCACCCCCUUUAUCAAGUGAUCAAGGUGAACGUCCCCAGUAAUGGGACAGACAGACAUCCUUUGUCUCCUGGAUGUGCAGGAAGGACACAGUGCCAUGUCUGAGCAUUAAAAAUGUUUAACCUGAAUCUGAUCAGGAGGAAACCAGACAAACCCAAAUAGAGGGAAAUUCUCACUUGUACUCUUCAAAAAUAUCAAGGCAGUGAAAGGCCAAGGAACUGCUUCAGAUUAAAGGAGAACCAAGAAACAUGACAACUCAAGGCAGUAUGAGUUUUCCUGAGUCAGGAAAAAAUUGUUAUUGUUGGGGCAUUAUUGAGAUAGUGAUGGGACCUGGAAGCCAUAGACUUUGAAGGAAUUCAUGAAUAAAAUUCACGGAUUCUACAAACUUGGAUGGGAAAAAAAACUCCUUAAAAAGCUAAUUAUUUGAAAUUAAUAUUUACUUCCUUUUAAAAAAAAUGUUUACAGUUUUAUGAUGUACAGUUGGCAUACAAUGAGCCAAAUGACAUAAAAUGGAAAUUUGUUUGUUUGUUUAAUAAAGGAGAAGUAGCUGCUUCUCUCUUCACCUUAGAGUGUCUCUUAACAAUGUCAUAGGCCUGAACAUUUGGUUAGGAAUUAGAUAAACCCAGUCUCUGAAUUUCACAGUAAAGCCUUCUGACCUUAGAACUCUAUUCAUGAACCUCUGAAAUUAACUCAGGAGCGAGGUGGAUGGGAAACUAUCACAAGUUUCAUUCGUCUCCCAAGGAAAUGAGAGAAAAUUUAAUUGUUUUUUCUUCUUUUUUACAUAUAUAAAAUAUGUGAAAUGCAGCCCAGACUUUGUAGUGUCUUAUGGAGUACCUGUAUAUUUGUAAUCUGAUCGCAUUUUCAAUAAUAGUGUUUUAUCUCUCCUCUGUUGGUACAUAAAGUUCUUUCUGUUGGCAGGAUUCCUUAUUUCUCCAACAUUACACAUAUUUAAAGUGUACAAUUUGAUGAGAUUUGACAUAUUUAUAUAUCCAUGAAACCAUCACCACCAUCAAGAUAGUGAACAUAUCUAUCAUCUCUCCCCCAAAGUGUGCCUUUUGUAAUUUCCUUCCUUUUUAAAUAUUGGCCACAAAUGACAAUGGUAUUAGCAGGAGCUGAGACUUGGGUCACCAAAAGGAAUUAUGGAUAUUUUAAUAUCAUGAUAAGAGUUGAUACAGAUCAUCUCAGAUUAUCGUCUAUGCAUGAUACCUCUUAAAUGUUUUAUUUAUUUACUGAAACAUUUGUUUAAUAAUAAUUAUAUUCCAAUAUUAUUGGGACUUUAGUGUAACCCUGUGUAUCUUUAAAAACAUUGUUCUGGCCUAUGAACUAUAAAGACAGACAGCCCAAAGAGUCACCGGCCUGAAGCAGGUUAAGUGCCCAUGUUCUAAAGAAACAGAACAGCCUCAUGUGUGAGACCCUUGUGUUGUGGCCUAUAGGGCUGUUCCACAGGGAAGUCCCCACCUGUCCCCCUCAGAAGCAAGCCAAGAGGUGGAUGUGCACAGAACUUCCCUGAUGCUUCUUAUUGCCUCACUCUUAAUGCAAACACAGUUCACCAGACAUUUGGGGAACGCCUACAACAUAAAAAAGAAGCUAGAUGAGCAAACAGCAAGAAAUAGUUUCAGAGGAAGACCAUGCAGGGAAAAUAAGAGAAUUUUUUUUAAAAUUAAAAGGCUUUCUAAUUUCUUUUCUCAGUAAUGAGGUUCAAGAAGAUAUCACAUCCAUAAAGAUACAUUAAAGUGAGAAAAGCAAGGACAGAUGUGUAAUAAGCUGAUAAUUUUUGUGCAAACAAUUACUUGGUUCCCUUGGAAUAGAAACUGCAUGGUUGAGGCACAAAGGUGAAAGUCAAGGAUGUAUAGCUGCUGUAUUGCAUAUUUUAAAAUAAAGAUGUUAAAACGUAAAAAAAAAACCAGAAAACAAGAAUAGAUUAUCCGAAAAUAAACGUAUUAUUCCUUAUGUUAAAAAUUAAUUAGAAGAUUUGGAAAAUAAAGUUAAGGAAUUAAGGAACCUAAAAGAAGGACAAAAUAAAGGAACAGAAAAGGGAAGAUACAGGGAAUCUUGUCACUCUGCACAAAAAAGAAGCAGGGUACUUAGGAUUUGUUGGUUAGUUCCAGAAGUGGGAGGCAUGGUGGGUGCUGUGGACUAGUGUGGUAGAUUGCCCUGACUUUUUGACCCAUCCUUUAUUCACACCCUUGCAAGAGAUAGAGUCUAUUUCCACUUCCCUUGAAUCUGGGCCAGCCUUAUGACUUGCUUUGGUUAAUACAAUUUGGUAGAAUUAAUGUGCCAUUUUGGAGCCUAGGCCUGAAGAGCAUUUUGCUCCUUCUUCGAAAGCUGCCCAGCCUAGGCUAGGCCGCUGGAGGAGGAGAGACCACAUGGAGCAGAGAGGAUCCAUCGCAGCUGAGCCCAUCCUAGGCCAGUCAGUUCCCAACAGAAUUGGCAGCUGACUGCAAGGGCUCUAGUGAGCCCAGAUUAGAUGAGAACUUCCUAGCUAAGCCCAGCCCCAAAUUACCAACCCACAGAAGCGUGAGCUAAGUAAAUGGUUGCUAUUUUGGUCUGUAACAUUUUGCGGUAGCUUUUUUACUCAGCAAAAGCCAACUGAUAGAACUAGCUCCUUCUACUUCCUUAUAGAGUGUAUUCCUAUAUUGGGCAGAGCCUGGAAGGUAAAAAAUUAGACUCCUUUGCAGCUACAGUUAACAAUAUUAAGAUCUGACAAUGAGAUGCCCCACCAGAGAUUGGGGGUGGAGGGGCAGAGAUCAUCUUUCUGCUGUCACUUCUGCUGACAGCAAGGACACAAAGAUGUGAAGGUCUCACAUCUCCGUAGCCAGACUCAGCAUAUUCCUACAUCAGCCAGAUUUUGAGACAGAGCCAUGUGGAGCUGGGGGUGGCAGCAGUGGCCUUCUUUCUUCUGACCACGGCUAUGGUGAUGUGCUCUUGAACUCUGAUACUCCACGGCAGCCUCCUGACUCCUGCCUCUUCAGACUUCCUUCACCAUUUUGCAACCAAUUCCCUGUAUUAAAUUCCUUCCUGUGAAAAAACUGACCAUGUCAAGUGUUGGUGAAGAAGAGGACCGUACUGGAGCACCUGGAACCAUCAGUGUACUGCUGGUGGGAGUGGAAAGUGGUGCAAUCAUUUUGGAGAGUUGUUUGGAACCUUCUUAUAAAGCUAGGCAUACUCUAUCCUAUUGUCCAGCAGUUUUAAAAUGAGGUGUUAACGCCACAAAAAUAUUUACAUGUGAAUAUUUAUAGGAGCUUUAUUCCUAAUAGCCCAAACCCCGAAAAGCCCAAAUAUUCCAUUAAAAGCAGAAUGAAUGAACAAAUUGUGCUAUAUUCAUAUAAAAGGCUUAGCAAUGAAAGCAAACAAACUCCUGAUACUUGGCACAACAUAGAUGGAUGUCAAAAACGUGUGAAAGAUGCCAGACAUAAAACUAUGUCUUAUGUGAUUCCAUUUAUAUUAAAUUCAGGAACAGGCAAAACUAUGAUGAUGGAAUCAGAAUCAUGAUUGGGGAUGGAGAUUGAUAAGUGAGUACAAGGGAACUUUCUGGGGAGAUGGGAAUAUUCUACACUUUGAUCUAGGAGCUGGUUACACAGGUAUUUAGGAAUUUCAGGAACUCUGCUAUCUCACUUUAAAGGCGUGUCCUGCCUUGUACUCAUUUUCCGGUUUUUCCCCAAACUCCAAGUACGUGUCUGUUGCCAAGCAACUUAUGUCAGUAGUUCUCAGAAAGGAGGGCCAGGAUGGCGGCCCCUGAGUGGCAGGUGACGAGCAACCUGAUGUUCUGAGGCUGAGAAGGAGGCAAGACGGGACCCGGAAGU